CUCCCUCGUUGCUGACCCCAGGUUCGAUAGUACCAAUUAGGCAUCACCUCGCCAAGAAUCAACUUCGAUGAAGCGACGGGCGGUGUGUGCAAGG
rnacentral:rRNA from 1 species